GAUUUGGAACAAAGUGUUCCUAGAUUCACAGCGUACUCCAUACCAACAAAUUGGCAUCCAUAAUCAAUGGAGAAUGACUAAAUGGAUUAAAACUGGUCGAGGAUCAAAACAAGGAGACCUAUUGUUUCCUUUCCUAUUCAUUUUGGUUUCAUGUGUCCUUGAUAGAAUACUUAAACUAGCAGCAACAAAUGGGGUGAUCGCUCGAAUUGGCACAUUAGACACCUCAGGCAACAUUCGCUGCAUACAAUACACAGAUGAUACCAUCAUCCUUUGCAAUGACUCCA
rnacentral:lncRNA from 1 species